rfam:Anolis carolinensis chromosome 1, whole genome shotgun sequence.
GCACUGGCUUCCAUUGAAGCCACACAUAUUGAAGUUGAAUUUCUAU